rnacentral:rRNA from 1 species
GGGGGACCUGCGGAAGGAUCAUUACCGAGUGCGGGAACCCAGUCGGGUCCCAAUCUCCCACCCGUGUCUACCACACCUAGUGUUGCUUUGGCGGGCCCACUCCUCCGGUGUUCCGCCGGGGGGGUCGUCCCGGGGCGCGGUGUGCCCCCGGGGCCCGUGCCCGCCAGAGGCACUCACUGUGAACGCUUUUGUGAAUGCGAGGAUUGUCUGAGUGACGAAAUGCAAUCGUUCAAAACUUUCAACAAUGGAUCUCUUGGUUCCGGCAUCGAUGAAGAACGCAGCGAAAUGCGAUAAGUAAUGUGAAUUGCAGAAUUCCGUGAAUCAUCGAAUCUUUGAACGCACAUUGCGCCCUCUGGUAUUCCGGGGGGCAUGCCUGUCCGAGCGUCAUUGCGAACCCUCAAGCACGGCUUGUGUGUUGGGCCGCCGUCCCCUCGUUUGGAGGGGACGGGCCUGAAAGGCAGCGGCGGCGUCGCGUCCGGUCCUCGAGCGUAUGGGGCUCUGUCACGCGCUCAAGGAGGGGUCCGGCCGGGGCCAUAGCCUCUGAAGGUCAAUUCUUCCAAGGUUGACCUCGGAUCAGGUAGGAGUACCCGCUGAACUUAAGCAUAUCAAAAAGGCCGGAGGAAAGAU